AGUGAACGCUGGCGGUAGGCCUAACACAUGCAAGUCGAACGGCAGCACAGAGGAGCUUGCUCCUUGGGUGGCGAGUGGCGGACGGGUGAGGAAUACAUCGGAAUCUACUCUGUCGUGGGGGAUAACGUAGGGAAACUUACGCUAAUACCGCAUACGACCUAGGGGUGAAAGCAGGGGAUCUUCAGACCUUGCGCGAUUGAAUGAGCCGAUGUCGGAUUAGCUAGUUGGCGGGGGAAAGGCCAACCAAGGCGACGAUCCGUAGCUGGUCUGAGAGGAUGAUCAGCCACACUGGAACUGAGACACGGUCCAGACUCCUACGGGAGGCAGCAGUGGGGAAUAUUGGACAAUGGGCGCAAGCCUGAUCCAGCCAUACCGCGUGGGUGAAGAAGGCCUUCGGGUUGUAAAGCCCUUUUGUUGGGAAAGAAAUCCAUCUGGUUAAUACCCGGGUGGGAUGACGGUACCCAAAGAAUAAGCACCGGCUAACUUCGUGCCAGCAGCCGCAGUAA
rnacentral:rRNA from 1 species